AUGGACUUCUUCCAGAUGGGAAACGUGGAACCUAAGGAAAGUGUUGUAGGGCCCAGGAACCUUUUGGUGAGGGCAGAGGAGACAGGAUGGGAGAGUGGCAAUCUUGUCACACUUGUCACUGCAGUUCCUGGUAAGAGGCUGCUCAUCUGCCUAGUGGCAGCACUGCUUCUGGCAGCCACACUUCUGCUGGCAGCAGCCCUUCCCACCGCCACAGCCACAGCAGCCACCACAGCCACCAGAGCCACUGCUGGAGCCACCACAGCCUCCACAGCCACAGCACCCCAUGGUGUCAGCAGAGAGGACUCAGUGCAGUGAGGAGAGAGGACUCGGGAGAGGUCAGGGAGGUCUGAUGCCCCUGCUCUGGGGGAGGCCCUUAUAUACCAGCUCUGGGGACAGCGGAGGAAGCCUCAUGACCCCUUCCUUCCUGGUUGCUCUCUUAUUGUUGUGCAUUUGUGACUCUCACGAUGUCUAAUUUGCUUUCUCUUCAGAUGCCUUUAUCUUCACCACUUGCAGCUGUUUCUAUUUCCUAAUACUCCAUCUUGUGUAAGCUAGGAGAGUCUCAAAGGUUUAGAGAGGUGUCCUGGGUGCCAGGGACAUGUGAGGUUGUCAGUGGUGUUUGUCAGCUGCUUCCUUCUUCCCACAGUGCCCACAAAGCAGACACAUGAGUGAGAGCUUGGGGAGAAACAAAGCACUCCUCCGGGGAUCCAUGAGGCAUGGCUACUGUGAAGUUUAAGGCACAGUCCUUGACUCAAAGAGCUAAAAGGAAAGUAACACUGGGUCCUGGUGGUGUGAAAAUGGUAACUGAUAGAGAAAUCCCUGUGCAGCCAGGCGCAGUAGUGUAGUAGGCUAAGCCUCUGCCUGUGAAACCAGGAUCCCUUUUAUGGGUGCCGGUUCCUGUCCAGGCUCCUCCUCUUCCAAUCUGGCUCUCUGCUAUAGUCUGGGAAAGCAGUGGAAGAUGGCCCACUUGCUUGGGUGCCUGCACUUACAUGAGAUACCCAGAAGAAUUUCCUGGCUCCUGGCUUCAGAUAAGCCCAGCUUUAGCCUAGCGGCAAUAUGGGGAGUCAACCAGCAGAGAGAAGACUUUACUCUCUUUCUAUCCCUCUCUGACUGUAACUCUACUUGCUCAAAUGUCAUUGCCCAGGCCAGGUGCCAUAAUCCCUUUCAAUGAGCAGAGGAGUUAGCUGGGUGGAAACAUCAAGCCUUCCCCCUUCUUCUGAAGCACGCCGUCAGAUUGGUCUGCACACUCGGCAUUGACUCUUAAUUUACAGCAGAAUAGGUCAUGGAAGGAAGGUGCUCUUUGAAGAUGUGAUCAUUG
rnacentral:lncRNA from 1 species